GAUGAACGCUGGCGGCGUGCCUAAUACAUGCAAGUCGAGCGAACAGACGAGGAGCUUGCUCCUCUGACGUUAGCGGCGGACGGGUGAGUAACACGUGGAUAACCUACCUAUAAGACUGGGAUAACUUCGGGAAACCGGAGCUAAUACCGGAUAAGAUAUUGAACCGCAUGGUUCAAUAGUGAAAGACGGUUUUGCUGUCACUUAGAGAUGGAUCCGCGCCGCAUUAGCUAGUUGGUAAGGUAACGGCUUACCAAGGCAACGAUGCGUAGCCGACCUGAGAGGGUGAUCGGCCACACUGGAACUGAGACACGGUCCAGACUCCUACGGGAGGCAGCAGUAGGGAAUCUUCCGCAAAGGGCGAAAGCCUGACGGAGCAACGCCGCGUGAGUGAUGAAGGUCUUCGGAUCGUAAAACUCUGUUAUUAGGGAAGAACAAAUGUGUAAGUAACUAUGCAUGUCUUGACGGUACCUAAUCAGAAAGCCACGGCUAACUACGUG
rnacentral:rRNA from 1 species